UACGGAGGAUGCGAGCGUUAUCCGGAUUUAUUGGGUUUAAAGGGUGCGCAGGCGGUCUGUCAAGUCAGCGGUAAAAUACGGGGGCUCAACCUCCGCCCGCCGUUGAAACUGGGGAUCUAGAGUGUGCGAGAGGUAUGCGGAAUGCGUGGUGUAGCGGUGAAAUGCAUAGAUAUCACGCAGAACGCCGAUUGCGAAGGCAGCAUACCGGCGCCCAACUGACGCUGAGGCACGAAAGCGUGGGGAUCGAACAGG
rnacentral:rRNA from 1 species